rnacentral:rRNA from 1 species
UACAGAGGUCCCAAGCGUUGUUCGGAUUCACUGGGCGUAAAGGGUGCGUAGGUGGUGAGGUAAGUCGGAUGUGAAAUCUCCGAGCUCAACUCGGAAACUGCAUUGGAAACUACCUUGCACGAGGGUUGGAGGGGGGACUGGAAUGCUUGGUGUAGCAGUGAAAUGCGUAGAUAUCAAGCGGAACACCAGUGGCGAAGGCGAGUCCCUGGACAACUCCUGACACUGAGGCACGAAAGCUAGGGGAG